GACUAACGCUGGCGGCGCGCUUAACACAUGCAGGUCGAACGGAAAGGCCUGCUUUCCCUUGUGGAUUGCGGGUACUCGAGUGGCGAACGGGUGAGUAACACGUGAGUGAUCUGCCCCCAACUUGGGUAUAAGCCUGGGAAACUGGGUCUAAUUCCCGAUAGGACUGCAGGGUGGUGCCUGUGGUGGAAAACGAUUUUCUAGUGGUUGGGGAUGAGCUCGCGGCCUAUCAGCUUGUUGGUGGGGUAAUGGCCUACCAAGGCGGCGACGGGUAGCCGGCCUGAGAGGGUGGACGGCCACAUUGGGACUGAGAUACGGCCCAGACUCCUACGGGAGGCAGCAGUGGGGAAUAUUGCACAAUGGGCGGAAGCCUGAUGCAGCGACGCCGCGUGGGGGAUGACGGCCUUCGGGUUGUAAACUCCUUUCGACCGCGAGGAAGCCACCUGGUUGGAAGGGUGGUGACGGUAGUGGUAGAAGAAGCACCGGCUAACUACGUG
rnacentral:rRNA from 1 species